UACGAAGGGGGCUAGCGUUGCUCGGAAUCACUGGGCGUAAAGAGCUCGUAGGCGGCCUGUCGCGUCGGCUGUGAAAACCCGAGGCUCAACCUCGGGCCUGCAGUCGAUACGGGCAGGCUAGAGUUCGGUAGGGGAGACUGGAAUUCCUGGUGUAGCGGUGAAAUGCGCAGAUAUCAGGAGGAACACCGGUGGCGAAGGCGGGUCUCUGGGCCGAAACUGACGCUGAGGAGCGAAAGCGUGGGGAGCGAACAGG
rnacentral:rRNA from 1 species